CCUAGUAACUGCGAGUGAAGCGGGAAAAGCUCAAAUUUAAAAUCUGACAGUCUUUGGCUGUCCGAGUUGUAAUCUAGAGAAGUGCUAUCCGCGCUGGACCGUGUACAAGUCUCCUGGAAUGGAGCGUCAUAGAGGGUGAGAAUCCCGUCUCUGACACGGACUACCAGGGCUUUUGUGAUGCGCUCUCAAAGAGUCGAGUUGUUUGGGAAUGCAGCUCUAAAUGGGUGGUAAAUUCCAUCUAAAGCUAAAUAUUGGCGAGAGACCGAUAGCGAACAAGUACCGUGAGGGAAAGAUGAAAAGAACUUUGGAAAGAGAGUUAAACAGUACGUGAAAUUGUUGAAAGGGAAACGCUUGAAGUCAGUCGCAUUGGCCAGGGAUCAACCUUGCUCUUUUGCUUGGUGUACUUUCUGGUUGAUGGGUCAGCAUCAAUUUUGACUGGUGGAAAAAGGUCAGGGGAAUGUGGCAUCUUUGGAUGUGUUAUAGCCCUUGAUUGUAUACAUCGGUUGGGAUUGAGGAACUCAGCAUGCCGCAAGGCCGGGUUUUUAACCACGUACAUGCUUAGGAUGCUGGCAUAAUGGCUUUAAUCGACCCGUCUUGAAACACGGACCAAGGAGUCUAACAUGCCUGCGAGUAUUUGGGUGGAAAACCCAUGUGCGCAAUGAAAGUGAAGAUCAGGAUCUCUGUCAUGGAGAGCACUGAUGCCCGGACCAGACCUUUUGUGACGGAUCUGCGGUAGAGCAAGCAUGUUGGGACCCGAAAGAUGGUGAACUAUGCCUGAAUAGGGUGAAGCCAGAGGAAACUCUGGUGGAGGCUCGUAGCGAUUCUGACGUGCAAAUCGAUCGUCAAAUUUGGGUAUAGGGG
rnacentral:rRNA from 1 species